UACGAAGGGGGCUAGCGUUGCUCGGAAUCACUGGGCGUAAAGGGUGCGUAGGCGGGUUUUUAAGUCAGGGGUGAAAUCCUGGAGCUCAACUCCAGAACUGCCUUUGAUACUGAGAAUCUUGAGUUCGGGAGAGGUGAGUGGAACUGCGAGUGUAGAGGUGAAAUUCGUAGAUAUUCGCAAGAACACCAGUGGCGAAGGCGGCUCACUGGCCCGAUACUGACGCUGAGGCACGAAAGCGUGGGGAGCAAACGGG
rnacentral:rRNA from 1 species